rnacentral:rRNA from 1 species
CGAACGCUGGCGGCGUGCUUAACACAUGCAAGUCGAACGCGAACGGUUUCUUCGGAGACCUAGUAGAGUGGCGCACGGGUGAGUAACGCGUAAAUAAUCUACCCUGAUGUCUGGGAUAACCAGCCGAAAGGCUGACUAAUACCGGCUAUAUGAUUUUCUGUAGGGAGAAUCAGGAAAGGUGGCCUCUUCUUGAAAGCUAUCGCAUUUGGAUGAGUUUGCGUACCAUUAGCUAGUUGGUGGGGUAAUGGCCCACCAAGGCUACGAUGGUUAGCGGGUCUGAGAGGAUGAUCCGUCACACUGGCACUGGAACACGGGCCAGACUCCUACGGGAGGCAGCAGUGAGGAAUAUUGCGCAAUGGGGGAAACCCUGACGCAGCGACGCCGCGUGAGUGAGGAAGGCCUUCGGGUCGUAAAGCUCUGUCAGUAGGGAAGAAAUGUAUAUAAGUUAAUACCUUAUAUAUUUGACGGUACCUGCAAAGGAAGCACCGGCUAACUCC